UAUUAUAAAACGCGGUAUCAAAUAAGUAUCGGCUUUUGUACUACCUUUAAUCCACCUUUAAGUACGACCUUGAAAAAACGUUAUUACAAAACGCAGUUUAUCGCAAGUCCUAUUACUAUCUGUAGUACAAAAGAUAAACCAUCGAGCCCCCUAGUUUAACUGCAGUACUUAGUCGACAAACGUCAAGUUCCGACAUUAUUUACUUUUGAGGUUAUUUGUUUUGUGAUGAAAAAAACGAAAGUGGAUAUAAAUAUGUGUGAUUUGGAAUACUUGGAUGUGUUAGAAUACUAUUGAGAGUGUCCGGGGACCCAACAGAAUGCGUCAUCGACAAAAUCUCUUCAAAUUACCUGACGACAAUUUUCGAUAUAAAUAUCGAUUUACGUUUUUCGAAAUAAUAGUCAAUUGAAUGCAUGAUGAUAAUCCAGGAUGAUCCUAUGAUGCUCAACUGGGCUCGCCACAAAAUUCAAGACUAUUUUGGCGUUUUGCACGCCGUAUCUCUGCCAGUAAUAUGCAAUGUUUGUAAAAGACUGGAAGCUUGCUAGAAUGUACAAAAAUGCCUAGAUGAGAAAGGGAACAAGAUUGUGUGAUGAAGAACAGUGUCCAACAUGUAGCAGUGCAUUUGACUGUAUAAAUAGACAUCGGAAUAAAAUAUAAUUUUCUACUUU